rnacentral:rRNA from 1 species
AUGAACGCUGGCGGCGUGCCUAAUACAUGCAAGUCGAGCGAACAGACGAGGAGCUUGCUCCUCUGACGUUAGCGGCGGACGGGUGAGUAACACGUGGAUAACCUACCUAUAAGACUGGGAUAACUUCGGGAAACCGGAGCUAAUACCGGAUAACAUGUUGAACCGCAUGGUUCAACAGUGAAAGACGGUCUUGCUGUCACUUAUAGAUGGAUCCGCGCCGCAUUAGCUAGUUGGUAAGGUAACGGCUUACCAAGGCAACGAUGCGUAGCCGACCUGAGAGGGUGAUCGGCCACACUGGAACUGAGACACGGUUCAGACUCCUACGGGAGGCAGCAGUAGGGAAUCUUCCGCAAUGGGCGAAAGCCUGACGGAGCAACGCCGCGUGAGUGAAGAAGGUCUUCGGAUCGUAAAACUCUGUUAUUAGGGAAGAACAAAUGUGUAAGUAACUAUGCACGUCUUGACGGUACCUAAUCAGAAAGCCACGGCUAACUACGUG